ACCAAACGGUACUCUCUCUCUCUCUCUCUCUCUCCAGAUUAACUUUAAUUUUUCUUUUGCAUGCUUCCACAGUAUAUAUAUCAUGUUUAGAUCUGACUUUACAGAUUAGGGGUGAUUCAAACUCUGUUUCUGGUCGUGGAUAUCGUAUAUUCGGUCUCUGAUUGUCUUGUUUGGAUUUCAAAGGUUUUUUGUUUGCCUAGUUGUAUUGUUGUUGACACCUUAAGUACUUGUGUGAGCUUUUCUUCCAAUGUGAAACUUUAUUUCCAUAUAUAUGUAUAUAUAUAGAACAAAAAAAAAAAUAGACUCUAUGUUAAACUACAUCAGUAACACUGUUACUUUAAGGUCGUUUCACCUUACUAAGUUGAGUGCCACAAUAUAUUCUUCUAUGGCAAAAUGCAAAAAGAAGUGAUAUUGGACUUCAUAGGUAUAGAAAAUGCUGGUAUUAAAAAAAUCUCCCACGAGUUUCAGUUGCUAUAGGCUUGAGUAGAAAAUCAACAGGGCCAUUGAGCAGGAAGUCGAGAGAAGCUUCCUUCCACCUCAUAGCAGUCGAUAGAUUCUUAUCCUAGUUGAUUCAUCCCUCUAGCUUUCAUAUCUUGGUGAUUUGCAGCCAUUCCUAGUUCCUCGAAUGAUUUCCCUAUGCUCAAUAGUACUCUUUAUCAUUUAAUUUUUUCUCCUAUCCCUUCAGGGUUCCUUGGAAUUAACUCUUGCCAUUUCUUUCCCUCCCAGAACUAGCUAGAAACAAAACUCAUUGCAGUUCUCCACUUGAAUUUAACUCAUUGUUCAAUUUGUAUUUUUCUAAAUGCAAGAUGCCGUGGUUGUUUUAUGUUAAAAAAAAAAAAAAGAUUUUAGGUGAGUUAUUUUGUUUAUAGGGUACUAGCUGCUAUGUUUGACUCGGUAAUGGGUUUAAGCUUUAACUGGUUACAGACCUUCCUCGUUUUUGAGCUAAAAAACGGAGCUAGAAAAUUAAGAUUUCGUGAAGGGAACGCUUUAGAAAUAUUAAGAGCUUUCACUAUAUAUUAGAAUAGAAGCAUGGCUUUAGAUAGAUCACCUAAUUCUGAAUUGACAGGAAGUGUAUGUUAACGUCCCAAUAGAAGCAUCUCCUUGAAAAAUGUAUGCUCUCAAUUUCGUCAACGCCCGCUAGUUUUAUUAUUAUGCUUCAUCAGAAUUGAGCCCAUAUCAUCUCCAUCUUCUCCUUUUUCUACUUCUGAUUACUUCCAAUCUCUCUCUCUCUCUCUCUCUCACACACACGCACAAAAUGCUGCCAUACUUCUUUCCAACCAUCACCUUGACCUUCAUGAUUAUAGCCAUACCCUUAAUCCACUUCCCAUCAUGUUUGCACGCAAAUGAUGAUGAGCAGUACCUCAAUUGCAACGAACGAUUUGACUGUGCGAGUGCUAAGGACAUCGGCUAUCCUUUCUGGGGAUCAAAUCGGCCGGACUAUUGUGGUUACCCAGGUUUUGAGUUGGACUGCAGCGGUGAUGCUCCGCAUAUCAACAUAACGUUCAUCAAAUACCGAGUCCUUCAAAUUGAUAAGGAGUCGAUGACUCUCAAGGUUGCUAGAGCGGAUUACUGGAACACGACUUGUCCUCCUACGAUUGUUAACACCACCAUAAAUUUCUCCAUCUUUUCUUAUCCUUCAAGUCUUGGGACUCUUGUGAACUUGACGCUCUACUAUGAGUGUUCGUCAUCUUCUUCCUUUACUCUUCCCCCUCAGCUUGAUCAGAUGGCUAUACGGCUUAACUGCCCCAUAAACGGUAGUACAGGGGCUAUCAACUACUAUUCGAGCAUGAUUCCUGACUUAGCGGGGGCAUGCAAGUACAACGUUGAAGUUCCAGUUGUGGUAUCAGCAGCAGCAGCUAUAAAUUUAACUGAAGAGGCACUGAUUGAAGCUAUUGAUGGGGGAUUCAUGUUGGAGUGGAAUGCAAGUAAUAGCAACUGCGAUGUAUGCCAAAAGUCCGGUGGGCUGUGUGGAUUCAACACAAGCACCAACGUUUUUGCUUGCCACUGUGCAAAUGGGACUUUUCCGUUCGCGUGCGGAUUAACAGCAACUGCACCAGACGACAAAGGCAAAAGUAGAACUGGCUCAUCACUGGUAGUAGGCCUUGGCGUAGGAGGUGCUGGGAUUGUUGGCCUUUUACUAUGUUUCUGGAUCUUUUUCAUCAUGAAACGGAGGAAGAGACUUGCCAAUGAAUCUAAAAGCAAAGACCUGUCUACACCUCCUUCAACCAUAGGCGUUCCUGCUGCUUCAAUUAAUUUUUCUCAAAGCACCCCAUCUUAUCCCUUCUUAAAAUCGGAUCUUGAAAAGGGAAGCACGUACUUUGGAGCUCAUAUCUUCAGCUAUGAGGAACUGGAAGAAGCCACUGACAAUUUUGAUUCUUCUAGAGAACUUGGAGAUGGAGGCUUUGGCAAAGUUUACUAUGGCAAGCUCCGUGAUGGGCGUGUAGUUGCAGUGAAGCGCCUAUAUGAAAACAAUUUCAAACGUGUUGAGCAGUUCAAGACUGAAGUUGCAAUCCUAACUCGUUUACGGCACCAAAACCUUGUCACCCUGUACGGGUGCACCUCAAAGCGUAGCCAAGAACUUCUCCUUGUUUAUGAAUACAUUCCUAAUGGAACUGUCGCCGAUCACCUCCAUGGAAACAGGUCAAACUCUAGUUUGCUGACUUGGCCCAUUCGGUUGAGCAUAGCCAUAGAGUCAGCUGGUGCACUGGCCUACCUUCAUGCUUCAGAUGUUAUACACCGUGAUGUCAAAACCAACAACAUUCUCCUAGAUGAGAAUUUCCGUGUGAAAGUGGCUGAUUUUGGUUUGUCGCGGCUAUUCCCAACAGAUGUCACCCACAUCUCGACGGCUCCACAAGGGACGCCUGGCUAUGUUGAUCCCGAGUAUUACCAGUGCUACCAACUCACUGACAAAAGUGAUGUUUUUAGCUUUGGAGUGGUCUUGAUUGAGCUUAUAUCAUCAUUACCAGCUGUGGACACCAAUAGACAACGACACAACAUAAACUUGGCUAACAUGGCUAUCAGCAAGAUUCAGGAUCAUGCAUUAGAUGAGUUGGUCGAUCCAUUUCUUGGGUUUGAAAAGGAUUACACCGUAAGGAGGAUGACAACCUCAGUUGCAGGACUGGCUUUUCGGUGCUUGCAGCAGGAUAGGGAUAUGAGGCCCAGCAUGGAUGAAGUACUGGAGGAUUUGAGGAGGAUCCAGAAUGAAGAGAUAGGAGUCCAAAAAGCAGAAGUGGUGGAUAUUAGUGCGGAUGAUGUUGGACUUUUGAAGAAUUUUCCUCCCCCGCUCACCUGAUUUGGUGGUCGUGACUGAUAAAUUGGUUAGCAGGUCUACUACACCAAACUCAUUCUAGCAACACAGGUGUUAAGGAAGACAACAUGAUCCAAGUCGUGCAGGCAAGGAAGGACAUAUAUACUCAGUACUCUGGGAAGUGGUUCAGGUUUAGGUUGUCUCGUGUGCAUUUGCUGGAAUAAUGUGGUUGAACUUUGGGCCAUUUGAAUAAAGUCCACUCAUUGCUUCCAAAAAUGGGGAUUGACUACAAAGUUGCAAGGCACUUAGAAUUCAGAUGUUGUGCUGUUAUGCCAUGCCUUGGGAAUAUAGGAGCAGCCAGCCAUAAAGAGUACUUCCAAUUAAUUAUGUACAUUUCUAUCUAAAUAUAAUUAACAAUAUCUACUUUAUCUAUUCA